GACAAUGCAAUGAAGAGGAAUAGUAGGAUUCAAGGAUUUUUCAGAGAGCUGUCGGCAGGUGCGAGGCAGUAGAUUUUGAAUUUGAACUCGCCUUGGAGCAGCCAGGCAGAAGACUUCGACGGAAGUUGUUUAGGUUUGGACGGUUAAUCUUCGAUAAAAGAUUAUGAGUGCGUGUUUGUUUAUAAACAGACACGAAACAGAGUGGUACCACGGAGUAUAAUCUUCGUCUCUUAA
rnacentral:ncRNA from 1 species